GUUACAGGGACAGUUACGGGCGUGGGGGUGGGGGCGGGGGAGGGGGAGGGGGCGGGGGCUUCGCGUGAGGCCCGGCCUCCGUCCGGCGCCGAGGAAAGUCGUCGUGCUCGGAGCGGUGACCCCUGAUCUCACCCGCGUAGCGCGCCCACUAGUGCCCACUGCUGCCCACACGUGGGCCCACUACUGCACACAGCUGGGCCCACUACUGCACACAGCUGGGCCCACGCCUCGAAGAACGCGGUUUUGUCUGUACGCAUUGUCAAUUUUCUGUUAUGUUUAUCAUAAGGGGUCGUUCAUUCAUUACAUCACGCUAAAUUGCGAUUUUUAGACCCGCCCCCCUUGCCCCCCAUCCCCCCUUGCCAUACUCUCAUAGAAAAGAGAUAGGUCUUUAAUACAUACUUUCACACUUCAUGACCACCCUGUUGCUGUGACGUAAUAUGUGGAUGAACCCUAAUUGGUAAUUCUAGUGACUAUUAUUUGUCAUAUCAUAUUUCCAUUUUAUUUCAACUAAACACAUACUUACUCGUAAAUUCAGACGCGUAUUCCAAAGCAGUUUUAGCAUAUUUUUUAUCAGUCACAUUAAUUAAUGUAUAUAAUGUAAGAUGGGACGCAUUUAAUAUAAUAUAUAAUGUAUGUAAAUGGUCAGUAAAUAUUCGGGCACUGACAAGUGGGCUGCGAACCAAUAUAUAUAUAAUUAUACAUAUUAUAUAAACACUAUACAUUAUUGUAAAUACUAGUGUAAGCGUGUAUAAUAAAUAUAUACAUUAUAAAUAUAUAAAUAAGCUGGCGGCGGCGCGCGGUGUUAUUUUCUUAUUCUGUGAUAUUUUAUUAGAUUUUAAAUGUUUUAUUAUUGUAGUCAAGUUUUUAUUUGGAUUUUAAAUAAUGAAUUGUUAUAAUAUAAUCCAUAUGAUGCAUUUUCGUUGCAAUUAAAUUUAAAGUAUGUCUUAGCACAAAUACAUAUGAGUACAGUUUAAUGUCAAAAAUAUUUACGCAAAAGGACAAAAAUAUGUGCCAUUUUCAACCAAAAGGGUACUUAUUGUCGCUUGUCAGUACGGCGCUAUUUCUAUAUAGCUUCAAUUAAAAAUCAACCUUAUCGACAAGCGACAAUGUGAUACCUUUUGGUUGAAAACGUCACAUAUGUGAACCCGAACAUUAUUCUUAAGUUUCUACACGUGUGUAGAUAAUUUGAUUUUACAUAUUGUGCGAAAUUCUAAAAAGAGGGUUGAAAGUUUGUACAGAGAAAGAGGAAAGAUUUAUCACGAGAUUAUUUUCUUUAUUGUAUUGUUGUUAAUAAUCAUACAUCGGGGUUUUUGGUGCGGGGAUGUUUGACACUAGCCAAAAAAUAGGUAAAAACCGAUGGUACUAUUUUAACAUUUCUAAGCACAUUUGGAGCUUACAACUUAUUUUUAUUCAUAGUUUGGCAAUUAUUUUACAAUCAACAAAGCUAUAAAUACACAAAAUCAUUCCCGCAUCAAAAUCUCCGUUUUAAUAUGUUAAUAAUGGGUCUCUAUUGUUUGACAUAAUUAUUGAAAGUCAUAAUGUAAUGACUAAUGAUUGUCAUAAUUAUCAUUAGUCAUAAUUUGUUUUUUCUUAAAAACGCGUAACUUUUCAGGAUUGCCAUAAAACAAACCUAACCUAACCUAUCUAUAGGAUAACCUGAGGAAAAUCCUGAAAAGUUAACGGUUUCAGAAUUAUGGCUAAUUAUAAUAUGACAAUCAUUACAUUAUGUAUUUCAAUAAUUAUGUCAAACAAAGGGACCCCGUUAAUAAUAAAGCAUGUUUCCGCUUUUUUGUAAAUUAUCUAAGCCCUAAGGUAUAAAAAAAUCAACGAUAUUAAUAUUUGGUUGCAACGAAACGCACUAAUAUAAUAUGGUAACUACAAACUACAAUACAAUUACUCUGUAGAUACCCCCUAACCUAAGCCAGUAGUCAUAAAACUCCAGUUUUGCUAGGAUAACUACUGUACAGUCCAGGGCAUAAUAGUACAUUAUUGUCGAGGCUCGGAAGUAGCUACUCGUUUUAAACGGACGACCUUGGGAGUCCGUUUAAAACGAAUCCUCAGCCAGCAAGUAGCCUUCCAGCAGGGGGGUGUCACUGCGCAGUUUAGGUAUAUUUGGCCGGCGCACCGCCCGGGCAGGUGUAUGGCAGUGGGCUGCCGCUCGGCUCGCACGAUAGUCGUGUCACGUGCUCAACUGGCGCUCGCGCAAAAUUGAAAAAUUUGAAAAUACGCAAUGGCUUCGAAACCUAAAUCGCAAUCUAAUCUGUAUAAAAGAAUGUUCUGCUUACGGAUGUCUGAAUAAACAGAAGGACAAGGAAGCAGAAAAAAUCAUUUUUUUUAAAUUCCGGACUAUAUUGACCGACAUAUUUUCAAAGGAAUAAGUACUUAUGUGGCAUACCUACUUCCGUGAGAAUCAGACAUACUAUCCCCGGCUAAAAUUUUAUGUUUACAGAAUCAACGUUUGUAAUUCCUACAUAUUUAUCUUAAAAAUAAUAAAUCAGUAGGUAUAGGUACAAAAACUUGUGGCGUGACAACCCCGUGCCGACACUCGCAGCUCGGUCAUAAAACUGCGGCGCGCAAAGAAGAUUCACGGUUCUUGCGCGGUUAUAAGUUUCAAUUUAGCUUGCAGGCGGCGAGUGUAGGUAUAAUUUUAUACCUAAAUCUGGCUUUUGUGAAGGAGUGAAUUUUCUGUACGGUAGUACUAUUAGUUAUUCUGUGCUUCCAGCCGAGUCAUUUAUAGUGCUUUUCUCAAAAACGGCGCAAUAAAUACAAAUACAGUAGAAAUAUUUUACAGAAGCAACGUUCUUAUGUAUAUAUUUUCACAGAAAAAAGUUAAAAGAUUUUCUUUGCCGCCUUUUUAUUUUUUAAAUUAAAAAUUGAAGUGUAUUUUUCUUCUGAAAAUACGCCAACCUAUUUGAGAUACCUAAAUAGUCGCGGUACCAAAAUUAUAAUAAUAAGUACUGAUCAUCUGUUUGGCUGUUUAAUGGACCCAUGCCUUCAUUUGAUAUGGCCACUUCAACUUUUAAAAAGUUUGGAACUCGACAAGUAAUGGAAUUUGUAUGCAACAUUGCAGUCCCGAAAUCGAGACUGCAAUUAUUGCAAUGUUUUUAACUUUUUAAUUUUUCAACGACCAUAAACUACGCACUUCGCGACCUACUUUUUAACCGGCAACGUCGACUUUGCCGUCCAUUUUUGAGAAAAUAUAUAUACAUUCCCAAAGUUUUAUAAAUAUAUGUACGCUCUUGCACCUUAGACAAUAAAGUCGUGUUCACAUAUUUUUGAGCCAUUUGUCUGGAUCGAUAUUUUUGCCUUCGACUGUACCCCUAGUGUAAAUUUCAUUCGAUAGCGUGACGUGUACGCGUUUGCGUUAUGUCUUUUUUUGUACGGGAUUUUGAGUUUCCAAAACGUCCCGCUUGGCGCGCUGUUCAAAAUCCCAUACAAAAAAAGACAACGCAAACGCAACGGACGCUAUCGAAUAAAAUUUGGUUCGGUAAUCUUAAGUUGCAAUUUUACUUUUUAUUAAUUGUUAACAGAGAAGUUAAUUAUAAAGACUGUUAAUCUCUAUACAAAUUCGCGUUCUCUCAAAAAUACUCAAAUCUCUAUAAAAAUACCAGGGUGAAUACGGAUGACUUUGAUGAAUAUGGACAAAACUUUAAAUGUGAUUUAGCUGACAAUUUGUUAAAAAAAUACCUACACGAAUUGUAUCAUUCAAUUGAAAAUAAUAGUAGAUUUUGUAUGGUACAAUCUAUGUGGAUUUUUUUUAAAGAAAAUUUCAAAUAAAUAUCAUUUUAAGUUUUGUCCAUAUUCACCCCAGCCAUCCCUAUUCACCCCGGUUGACAGGAUUUAAUAUGUUGAAACGGGUCACUCACGUAUUUUAAGUCGGAGUCUGCAUGUUUCGCUCCAUAACGAGUAGCUUGAACGGGAGCACGCGUUGGCGGACAUCUCGGAUGCAAUCUUCGAUUUAAAACAAGUGAGUGACCCGUUUUAAUAUUUUUAAUAAAGUUUAAAAUAAAUUUGUUUUUGAAAAAUGUAUGGAACUGCAACUAAUGUAGUUUUCAUUAAACCAUACCUGUGUAUGGAGAUGACGACUUGAAUUGUUGCUGGUCUCUGAUAAGUAUAUAGUAAGUGUAAAGUGGUAUAAGUUUGUAUAUUUAUUUGUAUAAUACUCUGAAAGACUACUAAGAUGCCAUACAGACGGCCGCCGCCGGUGAACUACGUAUUUCAGAACUAAGUUGUAAUUUUGCUUGGCUAAUAAAUAUUCUCACUUGUCUUAAGUCACAUAUUACCUUAUAACAAAACUUCCGUGAGACACAGACAUAUUAAAUACAGGGUGCUUUUGUUAUCACUGACCAAACUGUGAGGGUUGAGUCUCUAGUAGCAUUUUGGUACGGCAUUUGAUUAAUUGUGAUUAAUAUAAUAUUUGUGCCAUUUUCAACCAAAAGCGUACUUAUUAUCGCUUGUCAGUAAGGCGCUGUUUCCAUAUAGCUUCAAUUAGAAAUCAACAAGCGACAAUAUGGUACCUUUUUGUUAAAAACGUCACAUUUUUUGCUCCUUAUGACCUCGGGAAUGCGUGGUUAAAAUCUCUCGGGUUUCACCAGCCCACGGUGUAUAACAUAACGGACAAGAUAUUGACAAAUAACCUCCAAAGAUUCAAAGAUUGAAGUUCGGCGCAAUAUGAUGUGAACCCUUUACCUAAUCAAAGCUUUUUUCUGUUGCCAAGGCAAAAUAUAACUUAGCUCUGAACAACACUCUUAGUGGUGCUCGCAUCAUUGUAGCACCAGGAGGAUAUAACCAAACGGAGUAGCCAUUAACAGGCGUUCCCCUAUGUCGAAAAUAGUCGGCCAAUGGUCAUACACAAUGUAAGGACUGACGUUUAUCUGACAUGGCUAUUUUGACGUUACGUAUACAUUUGACGUUCCCCUCCCCCGCAAAAAUUGGCAGACUUUUUUGUACAGCAAAUUACAGACGUGACGGCUCCGUUUGGUUAUAUACUCCUAGCUGUAAAGUUAAUAUUAAAAACGCUCCAAAAUGUAAACAGAGAAAUGCGGUUCUGUGUCCAUAUGAUGUAUUAGGUACAUACCAUCUAAAACCUUGAAUAUCCUGACAAAAUUAAGUUGACAUUUCCUGGACGAUUUUUUUUAAAUGUCAGGACAACAAAGCUUGUACUAGGCGACGAUAUACAUACUUAUAUAGAUAAAUACGUACUUCAAUACAUAGAAAACAUCCAUGACUCAGGAACAAAUAUUUGUGUUCAUCACACAAAUAAAUGCCCUCACCGGGAUUCGAAACCAGGACCACCGGCUUCACAGGCAAAUUUCAUUUCACUCUAACUCUGUAUUUUGAACUGAACUUCACGGACGGGACGGUUUAUCGUUGUAUGCUCACGGACUUUAAUUGUUGAUCCAUCAAUUUGAUGCUAAUUUGGUUGUCAAUACUAACGGUAUGCAAUGUCCAGUGUAAAGUGAACCCUCAACAAUUGUCCGUGUCUGUACUCGUACAGGCGCCGCGUAUACAAUAAUAAUGUUAUAAGUAAGUUAGGUUUAACUUGUUAAUAAAAUCAAAUUUCAUUAUUA